rnacentral:rRNA from 1 species
UAGGGAAUCUUCGGCAAUGGGGGGAACCCUGACCGAGCAACGCCGCGUGAGUGAAGAAGGUUUUCGGAUCGUAAAGCUCUGUUGUUAAGGAAGAACGAGUGUGAGAAUGGAAAGUUCAUACUGUGACGGUACUUAACCAGAAAGGGACGGCUAACUACGUGCCAGCAGCCGCGGUAAUACGUAGGUACCUAGCGUUGUCCGGAUUUAUUGGGCGUAAAGCGAGCGCAGGCGGUUAGGUAAGUCUGAAGUUAAAGGCAGUGGCUCAACCAUUGUAGGCUUUGGAAACUGUUUAACUUGAGGGCAGAAGGGGAGAGUGGAAUUCCAUGUGUAGCGGUGAAAUGCGUAGAUAUAUGGAGGAACACCGGUGGCGAAAGCGGCUCUCUGGUCUGUAACUGACACUGAGGCUCGAAAGCUUGGGUAGCGAACAGG